rnacentral:tRNA from 1 species
GCCGGUAUAGCUCAGCCUGGUAGAGCACACCUCUCUGGAGCGUGGGGUCGCGCGUCCAAAUCGCGCUACCGGCU